rnacentral:rRNA from 1 species
GACGAACGCUGGCGGCGUGCCUAAUACAUGCAAGUUGAGCGCUGAAGGUUGGUACUUGUACCAACUGGAUGAGCAGCGAACGGGUGAGUAACGCGUGGGGAAUCUGCCUUUGAGCGGGGGACAACAUUUGGAAACGAAUGCUAAUACCGCAUAAAAACUUUAAACACAAGUUUUAAGUUUGAAAGAUGCAAUUGCAUCACUCAAAGAUGAUCCCGCGUUGUAUUAGCUAGUUGGUGAGGUAAAGGCUCACCAAGGCGAUGAUACAUAGCCGACCUGAGAGGGUGAUCGGCCACAUUGGGACUGAGACACGGCCCAAACUCCUACGGGAGGCAGCAGUAGGGAAUCUUCGGCAAUGGACGAAAGUCUGACCGAGCAACGCCGCGUGAGUGAAGAAGGUUUUCGGAUCGUAAAACUCGGUUGGUAGAGAAGAACGUUGGUGGGAGUGGAAAGCUCAUCAAGUGACGGUAACUACCCAGAAAGGGACGGCUAACUACGUG